AUACGUAGGGUCCAAGCAUUAUCCGGAUUGACUGGGUGUAAAGAGUUGCGUAGGUGGAUGACUAAGUAGGUAGUGAAAUCUGGCGGCUCAACCAUUCAGACUAUUACCUAAACUGGUCGUCUCGAGAAUGUUAGGGGUAGCUGGAAUUUCUAGUGUAGGAGUGAAAUCCGUAGAUAUUAGAAAGAACACCGAUAGCGUAGGCAGGCUACUGGGACAUUUCUGACACUAAGGCACGAAAGCGUAGGGAGCAAACGGGAUUAGAUACCCCGGUAGUCUACGCUGUAAACGAUGGAUACUAGCAGUUUCGGGUAUCGACCCCUGGAGUUGCGAAGCUAACGCGUUAAGUAUCCCACCUGUGUAGUACGAUCGCAAGAUUAAAACUUAAAGGAAUUGACGGGG
rnacentral:rRNA from 1 species